rnacentral:lncRNA from 1 species
UUUGGAGGUUAAUUCAUGUUAGGGCUCAAAAAUGCUAAUUUUGAAAAUAUGAGGGUUUGAUCUAAUUUGACCCUCCGUAAACCAAAUUGCUAGGUAAACGAACGCGUUGGCGAAGACGGUUCGGCAAUCCGACUAGCCGUUACAAAGUUGUUAAAGAAAUGGACGUUUAGGCUUCGUUACCGCCUGGAGGGCCGAGGCGACGUCGUAAAAUCAUGGAAAUGGAUUUGAAGCACCGUGGCACAUAACCGAAGACCUUUAAUUUUCGGAUCGUGGAUCGGAGGCCGUUCGGGUGGUCGCGCAAAAGAUCGGGCCAAACCGGGUUACGGGUGCCGCGGGAGGCCGAUUGCAAGUGUCGACAAGCAAUCGGAAAGCGUUUUGAGGUGGGUUGUGCUCACCGAAGCGAUUAGGUCGCUUUCCAUGCUAAAGUGUAGUAUGUUUACUAUUGAUGCAUGAUAAAGUAUGCUAUUUAAGAAUGCAUGAUAAAGAUUAAAGUAUGCUAUUUAAGAAUGCAUGAUAAAGAUUAAAGUAUGCUAUUUAAGAAUGCAUGAUAAAGAUAGAUGUCAAGUGAAUGCAUGAGUUGAUGUUAAUUUACAUGAGUAUAUUAUAGAAAUGCUAAACAGAUGUCAAACGUAAGUAUGAGAUUUAUACUAACCGAGAAUGCAUGUGGUAAAUGUUAAUGAAUGCAUAAAAUGCUAAGUGAUGACUACCAAUGGAUGACAAAAUAUCCGCAUAAUGAACAUAGAUCGAGUGGCAUUUGGAAAUGGUAAAGUGGACACUAGAGUUAGUGUGGGACAUCAAAGAAUAAAUGUGGUGUAAAGAACAAUGAUAAUGGCUAGAGGCAAUGUAAAGUAAUGUGGCAUAAAGAAUAAGCAAAGUGUAAAGAAUAAUGAUAAUGGCUAGAGACAAUGUAAAGUAAUGUGGCAUAAAGAACAAGCAAAGUGUAAAGAACAAUGAUAAUGGCUAAAGUUAGCAACCAAUGUGACAUAAAGAACACUAGAGUUAGUGUGUGGCAAUAAAAGAACAAGUGUGGUAUCAAGAAUGAUAAUUACUAAAGUAAUUGAUAAUUGUGGUAUAAAGAAUAAUGAUUGCUAGAGUUAGCAACUAAUGUGAUGUAAAGAACACUAGAGUUAGUGUAAAACCAUGAUCCAACUACAUAUCCUUAGAGUUAAGGAUUGAUCAUACUUGCUAUGAGUUCCGUGCUCGAGGGCGGUCGCUCCCGUCGAGCGAUGCGCUCCGGAGUUUUGCAUCACGGGUUGGAGUAAACCCAAGGACGGUUCUUGCGGGUGAGUUCCUGCGAUGAUGGACUUAAUGUGAAGCAAGUUAAUGUGCCGAAACCUACGGGUUAGCCAAAAAGAAUCAUGAAUUGGAAAGUGAAUCUUGUAUAAAUUAUGAAUUGACUCAAAAUCGAGUCGAAUGGCAUAGUUGGCUAAGGUAAAUGUAACCUUAGGAAAGAGUGAUAAUUGAGAAAGACUUGUUAAUAUUAUAAAGAAUGGCAAAUGUGUAUGAUGAGCCUAAGGCGCGAGUGCCCUUAGUAAAGAAUAAAGAACAAAGAAUAAAGUAUAAAGAAUAAAUCAUAAAGAAUAAAGCAUAAAGAAUAAAAAAUAAAGAAUAAAAAUUAAAGAAUAAAGAAUGGUUAAUGAUAAAGAAUUGCAUAUUCUAAUGAAAUGCUAAUGGUAAAGAAUGACUAAGAGUUGCAUAAUUUGCAUAUUUGUGAGGCAUGAACAUGUAUUGCAUGAUGUUAUAUGUAUAUAUAUCUGUUGGACUAACAUGUUGCAGUGCCUCCUUUGGACCUGGUGGGUUGAGCUUUUCACUUGGGUGGCUGUACCCACUGACGACUAUGGACAAUAGUCUCACCCCCGUGUUGUUGUUUUUGGGGGUACAGGUUCACACGCGAGCGGCGCGGCGGCGCGAGGAAAGGGCGUAGCUCCGUAGUUAGCGCCCUACCACAGAGACCAGAUAGCAGCACCCUGAGUCGGCUUCUUAGGGGUAUAAGAAAAGAAAAGAAAAGAAUCGAUGUUGUAAUAUUAUGUUUAGAAAUCGAUUGUAUAUUUGGAAGUUGAGGAUCAAUGUAAUGAAAAAUGCGAUGUAAAAUGAUGAGAUGAAUGAUUGUAAUAACAUAGGAUGUGUUAUGUUGUUUGAUACCUUCCUUAUGCAAUCGUUGUUGAAAAUUGUUCCUGUUUGGAACCUCUUGUACUUGUAUUGAUUGCGACGCCUUGAACGUACAGGGGAGACUCUGUCUGCGUGCAGGGGAAACCCUGUCCGUUCGGCGGUCUGUUGGCGUGCCCGAAUCCGACCAAAGAGGUGGGCUCGGGGCGUGACAGGUCGUGGCGGCGAUUUCAUGGUAGACGCCGGUGGUGCACUUCGAUUCUGAAAUUGAUGGUGUCUGCCGAACAAUGAGAGAUUCCAAGGCUAAUCUUGCAAGAGGCACAUUGGUCGCCUUAUUGUGAUUACCCGGGCGGCACAAAGAUGUAUCAAGGAUUGAAAAUGCACUAUUGGUGGCCUAGAAUGAAGGGUGAUGUUGGACGCUUCAUGGCGAAAUGCUUAGUAUGCCAACAGGUGAAAGCGGAGCGUCGAUUUCCAGCAAAAAAACUGCAAAG